GACGAACGCUGGCGGCGCGCUUAACACAUGCAAGUCGAACGGAAAGGCCUGCUUUCCCUUGUGGAUUGCGGGUACUCGAGUGUCGAACGGGUGAGUAACACGUGAGUGAUCUGCCCCCAACUUGGGUAUAAGCCUGGGAAACUGGGUCUAAUUCCCGAUAGGACUGCAGGGUGGUGCCUGUGGUGGAAAACGAUUUUCUAGUGGUUGGGGAUGAGCUCGCGGCCUAUCAGCUUGUUGGUGGGGUAAUGGCCUACCGAGGCGGCGACGGGUAGCCGGCCUGAGAGGGUGGACGGCAACAUUGGGACUGAGAUACGGCGCAGACUCCCACGGGAGGCAGAAGGGGGGAAUAUUGAACAAGGGGAGGAAGCCUGAUGCAGCGACGCCGCGUGGGGGAUGAAGGACUUCGGGUUGUAAACUCCUUUCGAGCGCGAGGAAGCCACCUGGUUGGAAGGGUGGUGACGGUAGUGGUAGAAGAAGCACCGGCUAACUACGUG
rnacentral:rRNA from 1 species